GGGGCCGUGGGGUAGCUUGGUCUAUCCUNCCGGCUUNGGGNGCCGGAGACCCGGGUUCAAAUCCCGGCGGCCCCACCA
rnacentral:tRNA from 1 species